UACAGAGGUCCCGAGCGUUGUUCGGAUUCAUUGGGCGUAAAGGGUGCGUAGGCGGCGGGGCCAGUCUGAUGUGAAAUCCCGGGGCUCAACCCCGGAACUGCAUUGGAUACUGCCUUGCUAGAGUACUGGAGAGGGAACUGGAAUUUACGGUGUAGCAGUGAAAUGCGUAGAGAUCGUAAGGAAGGCCGGUGGCGAAGGCGAGUUCCUGGACAGUUACUGACGCUGAGGCGCGAAGGCCAGGGGAGCAAACGGG
rnacentral:rRNA from 1 species